rnacentral:tRNA from 2 species
GCCGACGUAGCUCAGGGGUAGAGCACUUCCUUGGUAAGGAAGAGGUCACGAGUUCAAAUCUCGUUGUCGGCUCCA